UAGCUGGUCUGAGAGGAUGAUCAGCCACACUGGGACUGAGACACGGCCCAGACUCCUACGGGAGGCAGCAGUGGGGAAUUUUCCGCAAUGGGCGAAAGCCUGACGGAGCAACGCCGCGUGAGGGACGAAGGCCUCUGGGCUGUAAACCUCUUUUCUCAAGGAAGAAGAUCUGACGGUACUUGAGGAAUAAGCCACGGCUAAUUCCGUGCCAGCAGCCGCGGUAAUACGGGAGUGGCAAGCGUUAUCCGGAAUUAUUGGGCGUAAAGCGUCCGCAGGUGGCUCUGUAAGUCUGUCGUUAAAGCGUGGAGCUUAACUCCAUUUCAGCGGUGGAAACUACAGAGCUUGAGUGUGGUAGGGGCAGAGGGAAUUCCCGGUGUAGCGGUGAAAUGCGUAGAUAUCGGGAAGAACACCAGUGGCGAAGGCGCUCUGCUGGGCCAUAACUGACACUCAUGGACGAAAGCCAGGGGAGCGAAAGGGAUUAGAUACCCCUGUAGUCCUGGCCGUAAACGAUGAACACUAGGCGUCGGGGGAAUCGACCCCCUCGGUGUCGUAGCCAACGCGUUAAGUGUUCCGCCUGGGGAGUACGCACGCAAGUGUGAAACUCAAAGGAAUUGACGGGGGCCCGCACAAGCGGUGGAGUAUGUGGUUUAAUUCGAUGCAACGCGAAGAACCUUACCAGGGUUUGACAUCCUGCGAACCCCUGAGAAAUCGGGGGGUGCCUUCGGGAGCGCAGAGACAGGUGGUGCAUGGCUGUCGUCAGCUCGUGUCGUGAGAUGUUGGGUUAAGUCCCGCAACGAGCGCAACCCAUGUCUUUAGUUGCCAGCAUUCAGUUGGGCACUCUAGAGAGACCGCCGGUGAUAAACCGGAGGAAGGUGUGGAUGACGUCAAGUCAUCAUGCCCCUUACAUCCUGGGCUACACACGUACUACAAUGCUACGGACAAAGGGCAGCGAACUCGCGAGGGCAAGCAAAUCCCAUAAACCGUAGCUCAGUUCAGAUCGUAGGCUGCAACUCGCCUACGUGAAGGAGGAAUCGCUAGUAAUCGCAGGUCAGCAUACUGCGGUGAAUACGUUCCCGGGCCUUGUACACACCGCCCGUCACACCAUGGAAGUUAGCCACGCCCGAAGUCGUUACUCCAACCCUUGUGGAGGAGGAUGCCGAAGGUGGGGCUGAUGACUGGGGUGAAGUCGUAACAAGGUAGCCGUACCGGAAGGUGCGGCUG
rnacentral:rRNA from 1 species